rnacentral:rRNA from 1 species
GAAUUCGCCCUUAGAGUUUGAUCCUGGCUCAGGACUAACGCUGGCGGCGUGCCUAAUACAUGCAAGUCUAACGGUCGUGCGUUUGUAGCAAUAUGGACGUACGAUAGUGGCGAACGGGUGAGUAACACGUGGAAAACCUACCCUCGAGCGGGGGAUAACUCCGGGAAACUGGGGCUAAUACCGCAUGACAUCCCAACCUGGCAUCGGGAGGGGAUCAAAGCCGAAAGGCACUUGAGGAUGGUUCCGCGGCCUAUCAGCUAGUUGGCGGGGUAACGGCCCACCAAGGCGACGACGGGUAGCCGGCCUGAGAGGGCGAUCGGCCACAAGGGGACUGAGACACGGCCCCUACUCCUACGGGAGGCAGCAGUAGGGAAUUUUGCUCAAUGGGGGAAACCCUGAAGCAGCGACGCCGCGUGGGCGACGAAAUCCUUCGGGAUGUAAAGCCCUUUUAACCGGGACGAAAUACAUGACGGUACCGGUGGAAUAAGCCUCGGCUAACUCCGUGCCAGCAGCCGCGGUAAGACGGGGGAGGCAAGCGUUGUCCGGAAUCACUGGGUGUAAAGGGCGUGUAGGCGGGCCGGCUAGUCGGUUGUUAAAUCUCUCCGCUCAACGGAGAAGCUGCGGCCGAUACUUCCGGUCUUGAGUGCGGCAGGGGAGGAUGGAAUUCCUGGUGUAGCGGUGAAAUGCGUAGAUAUCAGGAGGAACACCGGUGGCGAAGGCGGUCCUCUGGGCCUGCACUGACGCUGAGUGCGCGAAAGCUGGGGUAGCAAACAGAAUUAGAUACUCUGGUAGUCCCAGCCCUAAACGAUGGGUA